rnacentral:lncRNA from 1 species
CCCCUCGCACAUGCUCAGUAAUCGCGCCGGGCUCUCCGGCCAGCCCCACCCCCGCCGCCGCCGCCGCCGCCGCCGCCGCCGCCGCCGCCGCCCCUCCGCCUGCCUCGGGGCUGCCGGUGCCGGGCGGCGCCGAAGCCGCCCCGAGUCCGCGGCUCCGGAUUUUCCCAAGAGCACGAGGAAGAGCCUGGCCCGUGCGGGGGAUGCUGUCAGUGGCCGCGUUCUUCGUCUUCUUCAGGCAGACAUGGCGGAUCUAUAUCUGGAGCUGAAGGCAGUAAGAAGAGAGAGAGACACUGGACCUGGCUUUAGCUUCGGAAACCUCAAAGCCCAUGCCCUGCGACACACUUCCUCCUACAAGGCCACUCCCUAUGACCUAUGGGGGCUGUUUUCAUUCAAACCAUCACACUGGGUAUGGUGUUAUUCAUUGAAACAUGGGUUUCUUACGAAAGCUCACACCACUGAAGAAAAGUGAUCCCUUCUCUCAUAGCAGCCCUUACCAGCUGCUAAUGGUUUCUCAACGAAGGGUAGAGCCUUAUGAGCCCUUCCCCCAUCUUUGCUGAAACGUCCGUGGGCUCCAUCUUGUACAGGUCUUGUGCAGUCACAUAAGCAUCGAAUUUUCUCCUACCAAUAUUCCAUUCUGAACAAGAAGACUUACCACAUAUCAGAGACACAGAUGUGUCUGGCAACUUGAAUAUGAUUCCAUGGAAAGCAAAGGAAUACAUUACCAUGUUAUAUUUGGAAUGAAAGGUUAAAUAACCAAGAAAUGUUGCCAAAUAACAGAGACUCAGCUGCGAACACAAGAGCACACCCUGGAACUGGCGUAUGAAAUACAAGCCAGCUGGCUGCGUUAGGAAAUGUCUUAGGAAAAAAUAGCCUUCCUCAUCUAAGCCAUAAAUGGAAAAGCGACUCUCUCAAGGCUUAACUGGUUUCCUUUUUAUCCUGUUUGUUUGUUUGUUUGUUUGUCUGAGGUAUACCCUGCUGAAUAAUUGCGACAACACUGAGAGAGUAAAACCAAGUGUGCUGGCACACUCCAAGCAAGAACUUCUACAUUAUUCCAUGCGGGAAGCACUCUAUGCAGGGCGUGUCACAGGCCAGGGCAGAAACCAAAAGCUAUUCCUCUGUGGCUUCAAGAUAAAAUCCCACUGAGAGUCAGCAUUGAACAUGCAGAUAGAAGCUGAAUGUGAGAGACGUUAUCCAGUUUUCCUCAUAUGAAGCAGGGCAAGACUGUGAAAAGGUCUAUGCAUUACUGAACAAAACCACGGUUCACCUCCGAGGAGUACUCAGUAAGGAGAAAUCCAGUCUCAAAUGAAAACCCGACUGCCUGGGAGUCAUCCUAGAAGAAUUCGAUGUUUUGAACAAGAGAUGGAUGAUAGAUUUUAAUCUCUAUUUUGACUCAUUUUGUCUUGAUUUGAAACCCCCAGAUCUCAGAAGAGUUAAGGAAAUCAACACUCCUGUGUCAUACUAUUGAAGAAUUCUCUCUCUCUCUCUCUCAUGAUCUAACUGCUUUUCUCUGAACCACUCAAUUAGAAGGAAAACUACUGGAAUUCUACCUAGAGUCUUGAUAUUCCGGUGAUGGCCCCUGCCACUCUGAUUAUAAACCAGGAGGCUUCUUUGAGCGUGCCAGCUUUCAAUUAUUUAAAUGGGUAGUUCAACCAACCGUUUUUCAUUCAAAAUGCAACAAAAGUUAGAAUUGCGUGCUGACUCGUAUCCAGAUGCUGUCUUCUUUGGGCCUGGCCAGCUGAUGCUGCUGUUAGUUUCCUGAUGUGUCAGAAACACAUUUGUACUUCAUGGCAAUCUAUAAUAAAGUCUACAACGAAUGUAUCCGA